GGUUAAGCGACUAAGCGUACACGGUGGAUGCCCCGCAGUCAGAGGCGAUGAAGGACGUGCUAAUCUGCGAUAAGCGUCGGUGAGGUGAUAUGAACCGUUAUAACCGGCGAUUUCCGAAUGGGGAAACCCAGUGUGUUUCGACACACUAUCAUUAACUGAAUCCAUAGGUUAAUGAGGCGAACCGGGGAACUGAAACAUCUAAGUACCCCGAGGAAAAGAAAUCAACCGAGAUUCCCCAGUAGCGGCGAGCGAACGGGGAGGAGCCCAGAGCCUGAAUCAGUGUGUGUGUUAGUGGAAGCGUCUGGAAAGGCGCGCGAUACAGGGUGACAGCCCCGUACACAAAAAUGCACAUAUUGUGAGCUCGAUGAGUAGGGCGGGACACGUGGUAUCCUGUCUGAAUAUGGGGGACCAUCCUCCAAGGCUAAAUACUCCUGACUGACCGAUAGUGAACCAGUACCGUGAGGGAAAGGCGAAAAGAACCCCGGCGAGGGGAGUGAAAAAGAACCUGAAACCGUGUACGUACAAGCAGUGGGAGCCUCUUAAUGGGGUGACUGCGUACCUUUUGUAUAAUGGGUCAGCGACUUAUAUUCUGUAGCAAGGUUAACCGAAUAGGGGAGCCGAAGGGAAACCGAGUCUUAACUGGGCGUUAAGUUGCAGGGUAUAGACCCGAAACCCGGUGAUCUAGCCAUGGGCAGGUUGAAGGUUGGGUAACACUAACUGGAGGACCGAACCGACUAAUGUUGAAAAAUUAGCGGAUGACUUGUGGCUGGGGGUGAAAGGCCAAUCAAACCGGGAGAUAGCUGGUUCUCCCCGAAAGCUAUUUAGGUAGCGCCUCGUGAAUUCAUCUCCGGGGGUAGAGCACUGUUUCGGCAAGGGGUCAUCCCGACUUACCAACCCGAUGCAAACUGCGAAUACCGGAGAAUGUUAUCACGGGAGACACACGGCGGGUGCUAACGUCCGUCGUGAAGAGGGAAACAACCCAGACCGCCAGCUAAGGUCCCAAAGUCAUGGUUAAGUGGGAAACGAUGUGGGAAGGCCCAGACAGCCGGGAUGUUGGCUUAGAAGCAGCCAUCAUUUAAAGAAAGCGUAAUAGCUCACUGGUCGAGUCGGCCUGCGCGGAAGAUGUAACGGGGCUAAACCAUGCACCGAAGCUGCGGCAGCGACACUAUGUGUUGUUGGGUAGGGGAGCGUUCUGUAAGCCUGUGAAGGUGGCCUGUGAGGGUUGCUGGAGGUAUCAGAAGUGCGAAUGCUGACAUAAGUAACGAUAAAGCGGGUGAAAAGCCCGCUCGCCGGAAGACCAAGGGUUCCUGUCCAACGUUAAUCGGGGCAGGGUGAGUCGACCCCUAAGGCGAGGCCGAAAGGCGUAGUCGAUGGGAAACAGGUUAAUAUUCCUGUACUUGGUGUUACUGCGAAGGGGGGGGACGGAGAAGGCUAUGUUGGCCGGGCGACGGUUGUCCCGGUUUAAGCGUGUAGGCUGGUUUUCCGUGCAAAUCCGGAAAAUCAAGGCUGAGGCGUGAUGACGAGGCACUACGGUGCUGAAGCGACAAAUGCCCUGCUUCCGGGAAAAGCCUCUAAGCAUCAGGUAACAUCAAAUCGUACCCCAAACCGACACAGGUGGUCAGGUAGAGAAUACCAAGGCGCUUGAGAGAACUCGGGUGAAGGAACUAGGCAAAAUGGUGCCGUAACUUCGGGAGAAGGCACGCUGAUAUGUAGGUGAAGCGACUUGCUCGUGGAGCUGAAAUCAGUCGAAGAUACCAGCUGGCUGCAACUGUUUAUUAAAAACACAGCACUGUGCAAACACGAAAGUGGACGUAUACGGUGUGACGCCUGCCCGGUGCCGGAAGGUUAAUUGAUGGGGUUAGCGGUAACGCGAAGCUCUUGAUCGAAGCCCCGGUAAACGGCGGCCGUAACUAUAACGGUCCUAAGGUAGCGAAAUUCCUUGUCGGGUAAGUUCCGACCUGCACGAAUGGCGUAAUGAUGGCGGGCUGUCUCCACCCGAGACUCAGUGAAAUUGAACUCGCUGUGAAGAUGCAGUGUACCCGCGGCAAGACGGAAAGACCCCGUGAACCUUUACUAUAGCUUGACACUGAACAUUGAGCCUUGAUGUGUAGGAUAGGUGGGAGGCUUUGAAGUGUGGACGCCAGUCUGCAUGGAGCCGACCUUGAAAUACCACCCUUUAAUGUUUGAUGUUCUAACGUGGGCCCCUUACCGGGGUUGCGGACAGUGUCUGGUGGGUAGUUUGACUGGGGCGGUCUCCUCCUAAAGAGUAACGGAGGAGCACGAAGGUUGGCUAAUCCCGGUCGGACAUCAGGAGGUUAGUGCAAUGGCAUAAGCCAGCUUGACUGCGAGCGUGACGGCGCGAGCAGGUGCGAAAGCAGGUCAUAGUGAUCCGGUGGUUCUGAAUGGAAGGGCCAUCGCUCAACGGAUAAAAGGUACUCCGGGGAUAACAGGCUGAUACCGCCCAAGAGUUCAUAUCGACGGCGGUGUUUGGCACCUCGAUGUCGGCUCAUCACAUCCUGGGGCUGAAGUAGGUCCCAAGGGUAUGGCUGUUCGCCAUUUAAAGUGGUACGCGAGCUGGGUUUAGAACGUCGUGAGACAGUUCGGUCCCUAUCUGCCGUGGGCGCUGGAGAACUGAGGGGGCUGCUCCUAGUACGAGAGGACCGGAGUGGACGCAUCACUGGUGUUCGGGUUGUCAUGCCAAUGGCACUGCCCGGUAGCUAAAUGCGGAAGAGAUAAGUGCUGAAAGCAUCUAAGCACGAAACUUGCCCCGAGAUGAGUUCUCCCUGACUCCUUGAGAGUCCUGAAGGAACGUUGAAGACGACGACGUUGAUAGGCCGGGUGUGUAAGCGCAGCGAUGCGUUGAGCUAACCGGUACUAAUGAACCGUGAGGCUUAACCUU
rnacentral:rRNA from 1 species